AGUGAACGCUGGCGGUAGGCCUAACACAUGCAAGUCGAACGGCAGCACAGUAAGAGCUUGCUCUUACGGGUGGCGAGUGGCGGACGGGUGAGGAAUACAUCGGAAUCUACUUUUUCGUGGGGGAUAACGUAGGGAAACUUACGCUAAUACCGCAUACGACCUACGGGUGAAAGCAGGGGAUCUUCGGACCUUGCGCGAUUGAAUGAGCCGAUGUCGGAUUAGCUAGUUGGCGGGGUAAAGGCCCACCAAGGCGGCGAUCCGUAGCUGGUCUGAGAGGAUGAUCAGCCACACUGGAACUGAGACACGGUCCAUACUCCUACGGGAGGCAGCAGUGGGGAAUAUUGGACAAUGGGCGCAAGCCUGAUCCAGCCAUACCGCGUGGGUGAAGAAGGCCUUCGGGUUGUAAAGCCCUUUUGUUGGGAAAGAAAAGCAGCAGGUUAAUACCCCGCUGUUCUGACGGUACCCAAAGAAUAAGCACCGGCUAACUUCGUG
rnacentral:rRNA from 1 species